UACGUAGGGUGCAAGCGUUGUCCGGAAUUAUUGGGCGUAAAGAGCUCGUAGGCGGUUCGUCGCGUCGGCUGUGAAAACCCGGAGCUCAACUCCGGGCCUGCAGUCGAUACUGGCGGACUUGAGUGUUGCAGGGGAGACUGGAAUUCCUGGUGUAGCGGUGAAAUGCGCAGAUAUCAGGAGGAACACCGGUGGCGAAGGCGGGUCUCUGGGCAACUACUGACGCUGAGGAGCGAAAGCGUGGGGAGCGAACAGG
rnacentral:rRNA from 1 species